AUAGAUUCAGGGGUUUCUGUUAUAGCCAAAUGCGAGGGAAAGAUCAUUUCUACUAAUAGUCAUAAGAUACCUUUAUCAAGUAGUGGGAAGACUAUAAGUAUUCCCUUAGUUAAGCACCGUCGCUCUAACAAGAAUACUUGCCUGCACCAAAAACCUUAG
rnacentral:rRNA from 1 species